AUGUCACUAUAUAUUGAACCCAAAGCUAUUGCGGAAGGUAGGAUUUUCUUCCGUUUCUUUCCCAGAGCACUGGGGUGGGAGGUUCGGGAUAAUCGGCUUCAAGAACUUGAAUUCAUUGGUUCCAGAUCCUCCCCGCAGACACACCUCAUACUGGUAGCUCUGCGACAGCGUCCCCGCGCCGCUGACGUCCACCAGGUGGCCCGGAAAGUGGCCCUCGGGCCCCGAGCAGCGACCCGCAGACGCCGCCCGGCUCCGCCUGCACAGCCGCACCGCCACGAACACCAGCACCGAGAACAGGAAGAGCGACGACACGGACGCCAAGGCGACGACCAAGUAGACGGUGAGCGGGUCGGCCCGCGCCUCGGCCGCCGCCACCUCCGGGAGCGGCAGGUAGGGCUGCGAGAAGCCGUCCACCAGCAGCACGUGCAGCGUGACGCUGGCCGAGCGCGGCGGCUCGCCAUUGUCCCUGACCAGCACCACCAGCCUGUGCUUGACGGCGUCGCGCUCGCUCAGCAGCCGGGCCGUGCGCACCUCGCCGUUGUGCGCCCACACGCCGAACAGCCCGGGCUCCGUGGCCUUGAGCAGCUGGUACGACAGCCAGGCGUUCUGGCCCGAGUCGCCGUCCACCGCCACCACCUUGGUCACCAGGUAGCCCGCCUCGGCCGCCCUGGGCACCAGCUCGGUGCAGGGCGCAGAGCCGUUCUGCGGCGGGUACAGCACGAAGGGCGCGUUGUCGUUGUCGUCCAGCACCAGCACGCGCACCCGCGCCUGGCUGCUGAGCGCGGGCGAGCCGCGGUCGGCCGCGCGCACGCCGAACUCGAACGCCUGCAGCGCCUCGUAAUCCAGGGACCUGAGCGCGAACAGCUGCCCGUUGUCCGCGUUGAUGGACACCAGGGAGGCCAGGGGCAGCUGCGGGUCCGCGGGCGGCAGCAGCGAGUAGGUGACCUGGGCGUUGGCGCCCGAGUCCCUGUCCGUGGCGCUCACGCUGCCGAUGUGCAGGGCGGGGCUGUUGUUCUCGCGGACGCGCAGGGUGUAGGUGGUUUGGCUGAAGGCGGGGGCGUUGUCGUUGACGUCGGAGACCGUCACGGUUAUGUUGUGCUGCGUUUUCAGCCUGGGGGUCCCCAAGUCGGUGACGGUGAUGGUGAUGUUGUACUCGGCCUGGCACUCUCUAUCCAGCAUUUUCUCCGUUUCCAAAGUGUAAUAAUUCUCAACUGA
ensembl:lncRNA